AUACCUUGCUAGGGGAGCGCGAAGCUGAGAGUGUGGCUCUGCCACAGACCCUACGAACCUGAUCUGGGUAAUGCCAGCGAAGGGAAGUAACGGUGAUCCGCC
rnacentral:ncRNA from 2 species